rnacentral:rRNA from 1 species
UACGUAGGGUGCGAGCGUUAAUCGGAUUUACUGGGCGUAAAGCGAGCGCAGGUGGUUUAUUAAGUCUGGUGUAAAAGGCAGUGGCUCAACCAUUGUAUGCAUUGGAAACUGUUAGACUUGAGUGCAGUAGAGGAGAGUGGAAUUCCAUGUGUAGCGGUGAAAUGCGUAGAUAUAUGGAGGAACACCGGUGGCGAAAGCGGCUCUCUGGACUGUAACUGACACUGAGGCUCGAAAGCGUGGGUAGCAAACAGG